rnacentral:lncRNA from 1 species
CAAGAGAUGAGUGCAUCGCAUUGCCAUGGGGCUAGAUUAGGGCCUUUUAUAAGACAUGUAGAAUACACGUGAAACCAGUGUGGAGAAGCGCAACGAGGAGGUGAAUUAGGUAGCUUUAAAAAUGUUAAAAACAACAUGUUGCCAAUAUCCACUUGGAGACAUGUCUAUCGGGAUUCUUCUGUGUGGGAGGAAAGCCGACUGUAUCAUAACAGCUUUAAGUCUACACAUUUUAAGCUAUCCUGAGAAGAGGAGAACCUGACAAGCGCCCGGGUGACUCGCCAUGCACGGACAAAUGAACAACGAUGCCGAAAUAAACUUUUACACUUCAAGACAGGAUGGAAAGCUUCAGUUGUGCACCUGCUAUUGUGGAAUGCCCUGGAGACGAUGACAGCCACCAUUAUCCUGGUCCAAAUGUUUUGCAAGCACUGCAUGGUGGGCAAAUGCAAAGUGGACAUCAUCUGAUGUUAUCUUAUGUGGAUGUUUGGAGGAGCACAGUAGGAAAGGAUCAGUUUCUUCACAGUUUUAUUAACAACUGAAGAUUAGAACAUCUUUAGUGGCUUUUCAAUUAUGAC